rnacentral:rRNA from 1 species
CGUGGGUAACCUGCCCAAGAGAUCGGGAUAACACCUGGAAACAGAUGCUAAUACCGGAUAACAACAGAUGAUGCCUAUCAACUGUUUAAAAGAUGGUUCUGCUAUCACUCUUGGAUGGACCUGCGGUGCAUUAGCUAGUUGGUAGGGUAACGGCCUACCAAGGCGAUGAUGCAUAGCCGAGUUGAGAGACUGAUCGGCCACAUUGGGACUGAGACACGCCCAAACUCCUACGGGAGGCAGCAGGA